UUCCCUCAGGAUAGCUGGAACUAUGUUGUAAACAGUUUCAUCGGGUAAAGCGAAUGAUUAGAGGAUUUGGGGUCGAAACGGCCUUAACCUAUUCUCAAACUUUAAAUAGGUGAGACGGGCCCGUUGCUUGAUUGAACGGGUCUCUCGAAUGGAAAGUUCCAAGUGGGCCGUUUCUGGUAAGCAGGACUGGCGAUGCGGGAUGAACCGAACGUCGGGUUAAAGUGCCUAAAUGCACGCUCAUCAGACACCAGAAAAGGUGUCGAUUCAUUUUGACAGCAGGACGGUGGCCAUGGAAGUCGGAAUCCGCUAAGGAGUGUGUAACAACUCACCUGCCGAAUGAAUCGGCCCUGAAAAUGGAUGGCGCUCAAGCGUGCUACUUAUACCCGACCUCAGGGCAAAUGCGAGGCCUUGAAGAGUAGGAGGACGUGGGGAUUGUGACGCAGCCUCUGGGCGUGAGCCCGGGUGAAACGGUCUCUAGUGCAGAUCUUGGUGGUAGUAGCAAGUAAUCAAAUGGGAACUUUGAUGGCUGAAGUGGCGAAUGGUUCCGUGUGAACAGCAAUUGGACACGGGUGAGUCGAUCCUGAGAGAUAGGGUAACUCCGUUAUAAAGGUGCGGCAUCCGGACUCGUCUGCGCCGCCAACUAUCGAAAGGGAAGCCGGUUAAUAUUCCGGCACCGGAGCUCGGAUAUACUACGGUAAUGUGGCAACACAAGCGAACCUCGAGACGUCGGCGGAGGCCCUGGGAAGAGUUCUCUUUUCUUUUUAACGGCCCCAAAUACCAUUGCGGACAGACCCUGGAAUCGGAUUAACCGGAGAUAGGGUUCGAUGGCCGGCAAAGCGUCGCAGCUUCUGCGGCGUCCGGUGCGCCUCCGACGGCCCUUGAAAAUCGAGGGGAAAGAUUUAUUUUCGAGCCCGGUCGUACACAUAACCGCAUCAGGUCGCCAAGGUGAAUAGCCUCUAGUCGAUAGAAUAAUGUAGGUAAGGGAAGUCGGCAAAUUGGAUCCGUAACUUCGGGAUAAGGAUUGGCUCUGAGGUUCUAGGUGAGUCGGGCUUGUCAGAGAAGCGGUCGGUUCUUGUGUCGGAUGCCGGGCCUGGGUGAGGUCGAGCCGCAAGGCGAGAUCAAUCCCGGUCCCAGCGCUUCGGCCUACCCCGUGGACCUUUCAAGCUUCAGGGGGCCGUGGAUCACGGCGGCUGGGCAACUGGCCGUCCCGCGCGUCUCCUACGGCCACCAUCUAAAGAACAACUUAGAACUGGCACUGACCAGGGGAAUCCGACUGUCUAAUUAAAACAAAGCAUCGCGAUGGCCCGGGACGGGUGUUGACGCGAUGUGAUUUCUGCCCAGUGCUCUGAAUGUCAACGUGAAGAAAUUCAAGCAAGCGCGGGUAAACGGCAGGAGUAACUAUGACUCUUUUAAGGUAGCCAAAUGCCUCGUCAUCUAAUUAGUGACGCGCAUGAAUGGAUUAACGAGAUUCUCACUGUCCCUAUCUACUAUCUAGCGAAACCACAGCCAAGGGAACGGGCUUGGAAAAUCAGCGGGGAAAGAAGACCCUGUUGAGCUUGACUCUAGUCAGACUUUGUUGGUUCACUUGAGAGGUGUAGCAUAAGUGGGAGAUGUAAAAGUCGUCGAUGAAAUACCACUACUCUUGAUGUGAAUUGACUGAUUUCGUGAGUUUGAAUAUAGGUGUUAAAACCUUGUUUCUAGUGUGAAGUAUUUUUU
rnacentral:rRNA from 1 species